rfam:Aureimonas sp. Leaf454 contig_4, whole genome shotgun sequence.
GGAAAGGUGGCAGAGUGGUCGAAUGCACCGCACUCGAAAUGCGGCAUACGGGCAACCGUAUCGGGGGUUCGAAUCCCCCCCUUUCCG